AGAGUUUGAUCCUGGCUCAGGACGAACGCUGGCGGCGUGCCUAACACAUGCAAGUCGAGCGAGGAAGAGGAGAUAGCUUGCUAACUCCUGUUUCUAGCGGCGGACGGGUGAGUAACGCGUGAGCAACCUGCCUUUAUCAGGGGGAUAACGCAUCGAAAGAUGUGCUAAUACCGCGUAAGACCACAGCCUCACAUGGGGCAGGGGUCAAAGGAGGAAUCCGGAUAAAGAUGGGCUCGCGUCCGAUUAGCUAGUUGGUGAGAUAACAGCCCACCAAGGCGACGAUCGGUAGCCGACCUGAGAGGGUGAUCGGCCACAUUGGAACUGAGAAACGGUCCAGACUCCUACGGGAGGCAGCAGUGGGGAAUAUUGGGCAAUGGGCGAAAGCCUGACCCAGCAACGCCGCGUGAGGGAAGAAGGGUUUCGGCUCGUAAACCUCUGUCCUAUGGGACGAAGGAAGUGACGGUACCAUAGGAGGAAGCCCCGGCUAACUACGUGCCAGCAGCCGCGGUAAUACGUAGGGGGCGAGCGUUGUCCGGAAUGAUUGGGCGUAAAGGGCGCGUAGGCGGCCUGCUAAGUCUGAAGUGAAAGUCCUGCUUUCAAGGUGGGAAGUGCUUUGGAUACUGGUGGGCUGGAGUGCAGGAGAGGAAAGCGGAAUUACCGGUGUAGCGGUGAAAUGCGUAGAGAUCGGUAGGAACACCAGUGGCGAAGGCGGCUUUCUGGACUGAAACUGACGCUGAGGCGCGAAAGCGUGGGGAGCAAACAGGAUUAGAUACCCUGGUAGUCCACGCGGUAAACGAUGAAUGCUAGGUGUAGGAGGUAUCGACCCCUUCUGUGCCGCAGUAAACACAAUAAGCAUUCCGCCUGGGGAGUACGGCCGCAAGGUUGAAACUCAAAGGA
rnacentral:rRNA from 1 species